rnacentral:rRNA from 1 species
UCGCACGAGAAAGGGUAGCAAUACCUGAGUAAAGUGGCGCACGGGUGAGUAACACGUGACUAAUCUACCCUCGAGUGGGGAAUAACUGAGAGAAAUCUUAGCUAAUACCGCAUAACACUUACGAGUCAAAGCAGCAAUGCGCUUGGGGAGGAGGUCGCGGCCGAUUAGCUAGUUGGCGGGGUAAUGGCCCACCAAGGCGAUGAUCGGUAUCCGGCCUGAGAGGGCGCACGGACACACUGGAACUGAAACACGGUCCAGACUCCUACGGGAGGCAGCAGUGGGGAAUUUUGCGCAAUGGGGGAAACCCUGACGCAGCAACGCCGCGUGGAGGAUGAAAUAUCUUGGUAUGUAAACUCCUUUCGAUGGGGAAGAUUAUGACGGUACCCAUAGAAGAAGCCCCGGCUAACUUCGUGCCAGCAGCCGCGGUAAUACGAGGGGGGCAAGCGUUGUUCGGAUUUAUUGGGCGUAAAGGGUGCGUAGGCGGUUUGGCAAGUCUUAUGUGAAAUCUUCGGGCUCAACCCGAAGCCUGCAUAAGAAACUGCCGGGCUUGAGUAUGGGAGAGGUGAGUGGAAUUUCCGGUGUAGCGGUGAAAUGCGUAGAUAUCGGAAGGAACACCUGUGGCGAAAGCGGCUCACUGGACCAUAACUGACGCUGAUGCACGAAAGCUAGGGGAGCAAACAGGAUUAGAUACCCUGGUAGUCCUAGCCCUAAACGAUGAUUGCUU